UCUUUGACAUGCUUUGCAUGGCAGGCUCCCUGCACGUUAUGUGUGGCCAACUGUCAUGGGCUGUCUAUUCAUUGUCCCUUCGAUUAGCUUUUUUGCCUCUCUAUGGGUGCUUCUUUUGGUUGCCUGUAUGCUGUUACCGCUUGGGGUAGUAUGAUUGUCACGUUGUUGCCCAUUUAGCUUGCUCUGUGGAUGCUGUGCGUCGACGGGUGGCCGAGUUGUUCACAAAAUUCCAUGUGUCGCCUUGUGCUUUUGCAUUGGUAAUGCAUUUGGGAUUUUGUGGGGUCUCACGGAUAUUGUCCCUAGAGUGAGAGGACUACGGGCUUCAAGCCUGUAGACCUAUGAGGUUGCCCGUGCAUUUAUCGUUGUUCCUGAUGCUGUGUCGACAUGUCGUGGUUCUUGCGUCAUGUUGGCAGAUAUACAGUGCAUGAUUUUGCGUGUGUGGCAKGCCUUUUUGACCGAUUGACAUGCGAUUGGRGYWKGCAUYRUCAUCARG
rnacentral:misc_RNA from 1 species